AUCGCAUUCCGGCGCGGUGUUGACUCGGAGAUCCGGGAGGGGGCGGGGGGUGGGGGGGUCAAACCCUGGCCCGGGGGCGGGUUCGGACCCGGAGGACCGGAACGGGUCGGACCUGAUAUCUUCCCUCGCUCCUCCCGUCGAAGGGAGUCCGAUGCCCGUCGAUUAAAUCGACUAAUUAAUAAUCUGAUGAAGAAGGUUGAAGUGUCAUAAAACUGUCCUGUGUUUUUCCUCCUUCUUGUUUAAACUUGUGGGUGUUUGUAGCGUCUGAAGAGUCACUUUAUCGUCACAACUAUCUUCAAAGCUCUAAGACCCACGUGAGCAAUUUUGCAUCCGAUUCUGUCGUUGCCAUGGAGACGCUUUGCCUUCAUUUGUGCAACUUUGGAGAUGUUUGGAGAUUAAACUGCAAUAUGUCGGAGCGACUAAACUAUUCUUUAUGUUUGUAUUUGUGACCCAGCAGACGAGAAUUAGUCGUCCUCGUCACGACACAGCGGGUCCGGUGACUUAUUUCUCUUUUAUUUCAUUAAACGCUGUUUGUGUGGCGGUUUGUUGCUCGGUGAGUUAAAGUUAAAGAGGCCAAACAGUGACGGAUUGUGCCGCUCAGGAAUGGAGCUUUUCUUGUUUUCAAAUCUCGCUGCAUUCCACAAUUAAUGACAGUCGGCGUCGUAGAGGAGAGUUUUCCUCCUCCGCUCUCGAUUACAGUUAAACAAUGUUUUUGACACUUGAUCAACCUUUUCAGGUGAUGUAUUAAACUUCACAUCCCCAUCCAGUCGUGACAUGAAGAUUCAUUGGAAGUGCUGUAGUCUCUCUCUUUUAGCUCCGUCUUGGGUCUCCUCCACCUCCCCGAAUGCUUCGGAACUCACUUUAAAGCUCCGCCAGGAGCCGCAAAGAAGUAACGCAACCUGUGUCAAACCCGCGUGACAGAUGAGUGUGUACGUAAGGGUGACUUUCGCCCAGGAGGCCGCUGUCAGUCACAGCCCUUCUGCACGUUGUCCUCAUGUCGCCAUCGUUGCUGAAUCUUCCCGACGUUGCCACAAGUUGACCUGAAUGAAGUUGCUAAAUGUUUUCAGCAGUUUUUUGUGUUUUUUCACAAAGCGUAAUCUUCAACCGCUGCUAGCUGACCGGGCCUACAGGGGUCAGGGGUCAGGGGUCGACACAAUAACAAUAAGAAAUAAAUGUAAAACCAACAGAAGACACGUUUGGCUGCAGAGCGAUCAGACACACAACCUGGCUACAAAGACACUCCUAAUAUGUCAAGACGACCACAAACCGCAGCGUUGAGCCUUCCUGCGUUGCACCAUGGGAGUCGUAGUUUGGUGCGUCCUCUCGCAGUGCAGGAAGCCGCUUCCUUUCUUUUUCUUUUCUUUUGUACGUUUUCUGUGUGGAAACGAUGUGGAGCAACAAGUCGCCCGUCUGAAGAAAGAGCGGAUGUGCUUCCUUUAUCUGUUUGAUCUGCGCGUGAGUGCAGGGGCGUGUCCGUGUGUGUGUGUGUGUGUCCGUGUGUGUGUGUGUGUGUGUGUCUGUGUGUGUGUGUGUGUGUCCGUGUGUGUGUGUGUGUGUGUGUGUGUGAGUGUCUGUGUGUGUGUGUGUCCGUGUGUGUGUGUGUUUGUGUUUGGUUUUGGAAGAACCUGCUCUUCUAGACUCAAGUGUGAGUCAUUUCUCUCUUUUGUAUUGUCCUGAAUUAAAUCGGGCAAAGUGUGUGUGUGUGUGUGUGUGUGUGUGUGUGUGUGUGUGUGUGUGGGUUUGUUUGAUUUCUAUAUUCAGAUAAUCGCUCCUCCAGCAAACACACAGGCAGGGAGUGCUUAAUUGACUUUGUAGGUGUGUGUUUGUGUGUGUGUGUGUGUGUGUGUGUGUGUGCAGCUUCCAACCAGCAGUGACAUUUCAUGACACACACCAACGAGAGUCAACACGAAACGUCUCCGGGUGAAGAGGGAAGCGGCUGAACGUCAGCGUGAGACGACACAAAGUGACUUGAACAGAUUAUCUGUUGCUGUCGAGAUCGAUGAACUAUCUGAAGACACACACACACACACACACACACACACACACACACACACACACACAGAGCCGACACACUCCUUCAUGUCCAGCACGUCGUCCCGUUUCCUUUCUUCAGAAGUUCAGUGGAGUCGUAGAGUCAGCGAGCAGCCGGCAGGUUGAAGGAAGCUGAUUGAUUGAGAACUUGUCGCCGUGGUAUUUGAGCGUCCUCGUGAUGGAGGGAGCGUCCCCCGCCUGCCUGAAACGUCUCGGUAAGCAGAGCACUGUGGGGCCACUUGUUCGACUGGUGGAAGCAGGAGAUCACGAUCAUCUGAUUAAGCAACAAGCCGCUUCCUAAAGUCAGUGAAAGGUCCCGAUGGAGCAAAGGCUUCUGGGUAACCUCCGACCUCAUUUGUGUCUCUUUUUGGGGUCAUAUUUUAGUCUCUUGUUUUUUUUUCUCCAUUUUCACAGUCGUGAUUUUUCUGCCAAGGCCCCGUAAAGGAGUAUUUCCUAUUUUCCACCACUAGAAUUCCUAAAUAAUCUCUCUAGAUAUCCGUCUGUAUGCAUCCCAGCGUGUGUAGGAAACGGUGCGUGCAGGGACAGAGGUGACCACCAGGCGGCGCUGUGUUUAACAAGGUUCAAUUGAGCCUUAAUAGCUCACCUGAGUUUCUGCUCCGAAAUAUUUGAGGUACAUUUGAGUCGCUUUGUGAUCGUGACUCAUUUCUUUCCCACGCGGAUGUUUGGAACAUGACCCUGUGUGACAGACGCUUCAGUAUUUUUCUGUGGAGAUUUGAAUGCGUUCUGAUCCCGCUGCUUGAUAAGUUCCAUUUGAAUCAUGCAAAGGCAAAGUGCUGCUGUGCAACGAGUGGAAGAACCAGAGACAAUAAGAAGGUGAAGAACAACUCAUGAGCAGCCUGACGUGUCGGCUUCCAACGCGUGACACGUGCUCUGUGUCCAUGGACACAUCAGCAGCAGCACUGUCGGUCUAAAAACAUCAGCGUGCUGACACGCUAAGCUAAGAUGCUGGACCUUUCAGACAUUGCACCUGCUGAACACAUCCGUGUUAAUUUGAGGAUAUGAAUUAUUCCCUUGAGAGGCGGAAGCGGAGGGAGGAGGCGGCUUUAGGGUACGAGUGGGUCAUUUCAGGCCUCGGGGACUCUGACGCCCACCAGACUCCAUGGAGAAAAGAGUCAGUUUAAGCAAUCCGUCUUCUCGUCGUCACACCCGUCUUCCCUUAAUGUUGUGUGAGCUCCUGUGUGUGUGUGUGUGUGUGUGUGUGUGUGUGUGUGUGUCUUUGUCUCGGUCCUCCUCUGGAAUGUCAACAAUGAGUCAUGCCGGUCUGCUUAACUCAGGUGGGGAAACCAGCUAAACAUUACUAAACUAACUAAACAUGGAAUCAAUCCUCAGCACAUUUCCUGCCGAUCCAAACUCAGAAUGAAGGACCGUGGUGGGAAAAGUUGAUCUUUCUUAUAGUGGCCCAAAGCCUCUUCGACACGAUCGGUACUUCAAACAGGAAGUCCCGCCCCUUUCCCUUUCUUUCUUUACUCUGAUUGGCUGUCCCCCCUGUGUCCCUCCCUCCCAGCCCUUCUGUCGGGUCCCGCACAAUGUAUGCGUGUGCGUGUCUCUGGAUGUGUGUGUGUGUGUGUGUGUGUGUGUGUGUGUGUGUGUGUGUGUGUGUGAGCAAAGACACUGCAGAGGAGGAGGAGGAGGAAGAAAGAGGAGGAAGAGCGGCGGCUUCUGGCUUUGUUUUUGAGUCUGUUUGACGGACAGUUGAGGGAAGUGAUGAAGAUGGUGAUGAUGUGCUUCCUCCACCCUGCGCGGGCUCAGGUCAGUGGAAGCGUCCCGUAGAGCUGCUGUUAGUUGUGUGUUUGUAGUGUGUUAGAUGUGUGUUAGUUGUGUAUUUGUGCAUUCAGGAUUCAGCCUGAAUCUUUUUUUUUUUUUUUGUCCGUCAACUUUUAUUUAAAUGAUCCUUAAGUUUUUCUUUAAGUGUGUUAGAUGUGAAGUUGUCAGAGUGUCGUCUUCAUUUCCUUUAAGCGUGACACCGACAUUGAUAUCCACGGGUCAGGAAAACACACAACAGCGCGUUCAAAGGAAAAGCUUAAGGGGUCCUGGUACUUCACAGCGAGAUCCUAUCCGACUCUUUCCUUUUCAUUUGUGUGACCAAACUAGUUCUCAUUUGAGAAGCAGGAACCAGCAGACUGAAUGAAUCAUCCUCAUUGAUCACCAAAUUCUAAGUGUGCGUGUGUGUGUGUUUUUUGUGUGUGUGUGUGUCUGUGUGUGUGUGUGUGGACUCGGCCGCCGGCCACCUGGCUGGCGAGUGAUGCUCUUUGGGGGGACCGGGGGGGUCGGGGGGGGGAGCGAUGCUCCAAACUGUACCCAAUUAUUGUGAGUGCCCACUGGGCCGGUAUGACGCGGACGAUUAAUCAUCUUAAAAUAUAUUGUUGUGAUUUGUUAAUUGUUAUAUUUGUUAUUUCUAAGGUCCACAGCGACCCGCUCGAUUCCCCCCUUUGUUUGAGUCACAUAGAUUCAUCCAUUCAUCCAUUCAUCUGUCCUCAAGGAGAGAUUCAGGUUGUUCGGGUUCGGAAACGAUGCUAAAAUAAUAUAACAUAUUGUGGUCUUGGUUGAAACGGGUGACGGAUGCUGUUUGUUACCAGAGUGAUCAAUAACCGUGCAGCUCUGUCCGGUCUUCCUUCACCACCACACAGCGGUUCAUGUCGGCUCUGUGAUCUCUGGCUUGUGGAGGUGAUUUUCAUCCUCAGACGGCUUUGUUUGACUCUCUGCCUCCUUUCACUCCUCCAUCUUUAAUCCUGCUGCUUCUCUGCUUGUUUUCUUCUUUGCUCCACCUCUGCAGACACCUCGUUUUCACACACAUUUCCACACUGACACACUUCUCCUUAACGCGGCGGGAGGUUUGCAUACUCCGCUCUGUGUGCGUCUGUCUGUCUGUGUGUGUCUGUCUGUGUGCAUGUAACCAAAUAGCUCUGCAGCAUCAUGCGAGUACAGUAAAGGUCGCUGCGUUUGCAUUUAGUUUGUUUGCAGAGAGAAACGCUACCUGAGCUGAAGGGCGAAGCCGACGUAGGUCGAUGUUAUUUCAUAUUCAUUUCUAAAAUAUGAGAUGUUGUUGUAGCUUGAUUUGAUCACCCUUUUAAGGCUCAGGUCUUCUGCGGCUGGUGACCAGGUGGCGGAACAUCAGGAGACACUUUUCUCAUAUACAGAUCAAAUCCCCUGAGAAGGGAACUGGAUCAUUUGGACAUUUUGCUCCAACUAAAGUCACAGGCUCCACCCUUAUCUUAAGCUUUAUUGUCCAAUUGAGGUAAAUGAUGCAGGGCAAACUACUAAAUUACAUCCUUUAUCAUUUCAAGUGCAAAUUGUAACCAGAAAUGUCAUUUAUUACAGAACUAAGCAGCCUUUAAACCACAAUAUUAACUGUACUUUGGCCUCUGAGGUCGACUGGACGAGGAAGUGAAAGCAAACCGUCCUCAGACGAACCACAGCUCAACUCAACGAAAUC
ensembl:lncRNA